AAAUGGCGACGCUUUCGAGCUUAGCUUUUAUCAUCCUAUACACCUGUGAACUAUUUGCCUUCGGGCACCAAUCAAACAUAAUGUAAUGAAUGUAAUCUACUAUAAUAAAUACAACUUUCAACAACGGAUCUCUUGGCUCU
rnacentral:misc_RNA from 1 species